AGUGAACGCUGGCGGUAGGCCUAACACAUGCAAGUCGAACGGCAGCACAGUAAGAGCUUGCUCUUACGGGUGGCGAGUGGCGGACGGGUGAGGAAUACAUCGGAAUCUACUUUUUCGUGGGGGAUAACGUAGGGAAACUUACGCUAAUACCGCAUACGACCUACGGGUGAAAGCAGGGGAUCUUCGGACCUUGCGCGAUUGAAUGAGCCGAUGUCGGAUUAGCUAGUUGGCGGGGUAAAGGCCCACCAAGGCGACGAUCCGUAGCUGGUCUGAGAGGAUGAUCAGCCACACUGGAACUGAGACACGGUCCAGACUCCUACGGGAGGCAGCAGUGGGGAAUAUUGGACAAUGGGCGCAAGCCUGAUCCAGCCAUACCGCGUGGGUGAAGAAGGCCUUCGGGUUGUAAAGCCCUUUUGUUGGAAAAGAAAAGCAGCAGGUUAAUACCCCGCUGUUCUGACGGUGCCCAAAGAAUAAGCACCGGCUAACUUCGUG
rnacentral:rRNA from 1 species